rnacentral:misc_RNA from 1 species
UUCUAGCCCAGAUCGCAGCAAUUGUUUGAGCUCAUUUUGUGUUUAUUGGGGCGGCGGCGAAGCCGCCGCCCCAAUAAACACAAAAUAGCGAGUGCGGAGAGCGGGAAAAAGC